rnacentral:antisense_RNA from 1 species
CUGUGGUCCACAUACUGAGGAUUCUAUCCAUACCUCAACCCCUGCUGCACAGGAAACCCUUCCUGCCUCUUCUCUGGCAUUGAGCCCCUGACUCUCCCAUCCAGCUUCCAGCUCAGCCCGACAUAUGUCUCUCUGUGUCUCUGGUUAUCACUGGUGAAUCUUCAGCCUUGGGGCUACCCCAUGGCAGCUCAAGGCCCAGCUGAGCCAGCCUGGCCCCCAACUUGCACUGUGGAGAUGGGGACUUGGUCACAGAGAUUAAAGUAGACACUGAGGGCAGAGAGGCCGGGGAUGGAAGGGAACUUACAUAAGGCCACAGGGGAGGUCAGAAAUCUCACGGGCUCUGCUGGCUUCUGUGCUUCGUCUCUCAAGGCCAAAAUCAAGAUGUCAUCAGUGCUGAGCUCUGGUGGAGGAUCCACAUCCAGGCUCACUGGAGCUGCUGGCAGAAUUCAGCUGUGUGGGGUUGUAGGCAUGAAGUCCUUGUUUCCUUGCUGGCUGUUGUCCAGGGGUUGCCCUCAGCUUCUGGAGGCCGCCUGCCCUCCCUGGCUCAUGGCCCAUCUCAUCCUGACAGCCAGCACCCGCGGAAAGAGUCCCUCUUGCGCUGUGACUCUCUCCCACCUCUUCCAUUCUCUAUGGCUUGUCUGCCUCCCUCUUUCAUCUUUAAGAGUGCAUGUGAAUAUAUUGGACCCACCUGAGUCAGCCAGGAUACCCUCCCCAUUUUAAGGUCUGCAGCCUUAAUUCUACCUGCAAAGUCCCUUUUGCCAUGUAAUGUGCCAUAUUCACGGGUGUCAGGGAUCAGAGGGCGGGUAUAUUGGGGGACCAUUAUUCUGCCAACUACACAGGGCCUUAUAUGGUCUUGCUCUGUGUCCCCACUCAAGUCUCAUCUUGAAUUGUAAUCCGAAUUCUAACCCACAUGUGUUGGGGGGAGGGACCUUGUGGGAGGUAAUUAAAUCAUGGGGGCGGUUACCCUCAUGCUGUUCUUGUGAUAAGUGAGUGAGUUCUCACAAGAUCUGAAGGUUUUGCAAGGAGCUUUUCCCCCUUUUGCUCAGGACUCUCCUUCCUGCAGCCAAGUGAAGGACAAGUUUGCUUCCCCUUCCACAAUGAUUGUAAGUUUCUUGAGGCCUCCCCAGAACUGUGAGUCAAUUAAACCUCUUUUCUUUAUAAA